rnacentral:rRNA from 1 species
ACGCACGUGUGAAACUUGAAGGAAUUGACGGAAGGGCACCACAAGAACGCGUGGAGCAUGUGGCUUAAUUUGACUCAACGCGGGAAAUCUUACCGGGUCCGGACACACUGAGGAUUGACAGGCAAUAUUAAAUAAAGAAAAUUUUUGGACUAUCUGAUAUUUAUGUUAAAUAUGCUAGUCCUUUCAUGAUUAUGUGAUAGGUGGUGCAUGGCCGUUCUUAGUUCGUGGAGUGAUCUGUCUGCUUAAUUGCGUUUCACUAAGGGCUUAUCUAAUUAUAACGUGUGUUGCUAGAGUUUUAUACCUUUGUGACCCCUUUAAUUAGUGUGUGUCUAUAAUGGUAGCUUUGGCUCACACAAUUAAGGUCCUGAAAGCAACGAACGUGACCG